rnacentral:rRNA from 1 species
AGGACGAACGCUGGCGGCGUGCUUAACACAUGCAAGUCGAGCGGAAAGGCCCUUCGGGGUACUCGAGCGGCGAACGGGUGAGUAACACGUGAGUAACCUGCCCCUAGCUCUGGGAUAGCUCCGGGAAACCGGGAUUAAUACCAGAUACGACCACUUUAGACAUCUGUCGUGGUGGAAAGGAUUCCGGCUAGGGAUGGGCUCGCGGCCUAUCAGCUUGUUGGUGGGGUAACGGCCUACCAAGGCGACGACGGGUAGCCGGCCUGAGAGGGCGACCGGCCACACUGGGACUGAGACACGGCCCAGACUCCUACGGGAGGCAGCAGUGGGGAAUAUUGCGCAAUGGGCGAAAGCCUGACGCAGCGACGCCGCGUGGGGAUGAAGGCCUUCGGGUUGUAAACCCUUCUAGCAGGGACGAAGCGAAAGUGACGGUACCUGCAGAAGAAGCGCCGGCUAACUACGUGCCAGCAGCCGC